rnacentral:rRNA from 1 species
AUGCUCGCUCACCCUUCUCAUCAUUCUCACGCAGCCAAGAUGGGGAGUUUGCACAAGGCCACCUUUGUCCUCCUCAUGCUAUGCUUGUCAGCAUUGGGGAGAGCGGAAUAUCUCAAGUACAAGGACCCGAAUCAGCCCGUCGGCGCCCGCAUCAAGGAUCUGCUCGGACGAAUGACCCUCGCGGAGAAGAUAGGCCAGAUGACGCAGAUCGAGAGGGUAAACGCCACCGCGGAGGUGCUAUCGAAAUACUUCAUAGGUAGCGUCCUAAGUAGCGGCGGUAGCCCGCCUUUUCCCCGAGCGUCUGCUGAGGAUUGGGCUUCAAUGGUGGAUGAAAUGCAAAGAGCCGCCCUCUCUACCCGCCUAGGCAUUCCGAUGAUCUACGGCAUUGACGCCGUGCAUGGUCACAAUAACGUCUACAAAGCUACCAUCUUCCCUCAUAACGUUGGUCUCGGAGCUACCAGGGACCCUAUGCUGGUCAAGAGGAUAGGAGAAGCAACUGCUCUUGAAGUUAGAGCUACCGGGAUUCCAUACGUCUUUGCUCCAUGUAUUGCGGUUUGUAGAGACCCAAGAUGGGGACGCUGCUAUGAAAGCUAUAGUGAAGACCCAAACAUUGUCCGGUCAAUGACCACAAUCAUCUCUGGCUUGCAAGGUGAUGUUCCCUCAGGUUCCGAGGGAAGACCAUAUGUUGGUGGAAGUAAGAAAGUUGCCGCAUGCGCAAAGCACUAUGUUGGUGAUGGUGGGACGUUCAUGGGGAUCAACGAGGGCAAUACAAUCAUCGACAACCAUGGGAUGAUGACUAUCCAUAUGCCUGCUUACUAUAAUUCUAUCAUCAGGGGCGUAUCCACUAUUAUGGUCUCGUUCAAUAGUUGGAAUGGAAAGAAAAUGCACGCCAACCAUUACCUAAUCACAGAUUUUCUCAAGAACAAACUCAAAUUUAGAGGUUUCGUGAUUUCAGACUGGCAAGGCAUUGAUAAGAUUACGACUCCCCCACACUUGAACUAUUCCUAUUCAAUUGAGGCCGGAAUUGGUGCUGGUAUUGACAUGAUCAUGGUUCCUUUUGGCUACACAGAAUUCAUUGAUGAUCUGACAUCCCAAGUUGAGAAAAACAUUAUCCCUAUGAGCAGAAUCGACGAUGCUGUCUACAGGAUUCUUCGGGUCAAGUUUACCAUGGGUCUAUUUGAGAACCCUUAUGCUGAUCGAAGUCUUGUUGGUGAACUCGGGAAGCAAGAACACCGAGAACUCGCUAGGGAAGCCGUCAGGAAAUCAUUGGUGUUGCUGAAAAAUGGAAAACAUGCAUCCACCCCAUUGUUGCCUCUCCCAAAGAAGGCUGGUAAGAUACUUGUAGCCGGGAGCCACGCCGACAACUUGGGCAACCAGUGUGGAGGAUGGACAAUCGAAUGGCAAGGAGACACCGGCAACAAUAAAACUGUUGGGACGACGAUCCUUUCGGCGAUCAAGUCAACCGUCGACCCUAGCACACGAGUGGUCUUCUCUGUUAACCCAGAUAGCACUGUCGUGGAAAAUGGCAAGUAUGAUUAUGCCAUCGUGGUGGUGGGUGAGGCACCCUAUGCCGAGACAUUCGGCGACAAUCUAAACUUGACGAUCCCUGCCCCCGGCCCCUCGCUCGUCCAGACUGUCUGCAAGAAGAUCAACUGUGUGGUGGUGCUCAUCUCCGGUAGACCGCUGGUGGUGGAACCCUACAUUGGUGCCACGGAUGCGUUAGUCGCCGCCUGGCUACCCGGCACGGAGGGCCAAGGUGUCGCCGACGUGCUCUUCGGCAACUACGGGUUCUCCGGGAAGCUGGCGAGGACAUGGUUCAAGUCGGUGGACCAGCUGCCAAUGAACGUUGGGGACAAGCACUAUGACCCGUUGUUCCCCUUCGGGUUUGGCCUCACCACGGAGGCAAAAAAGUGA